AACUAAGUUUGUUAUUGGUAUGAGCUUUCGUGUGCAUGCACAUGAAAAGUAUCUAAAGAAAAGGUAUCUGAAGAAGUGUGCAUGCACAUGAAAGCUCAUACCAAUAACAAAUUUAGUUGG